AAUAAAGUUUUCUUUAUUGGGGUUGCGGACAUAUCAUAACGAAGAGGUAUCGUAAUUGAAGAGGUUUGGAAAGACCCACCACAGAAGGUAAUAGUCCUGUAUGUUAAACGAGAAGACUUUAGAUAUGAUCCAGAGUACCACGGGACACGUGAAACCCUGUGGGAAGCAGGAGGGACCACCCUCCAAGGCUAAAUACUACCUAGUGACCGAUAGCGUAUAGUACCGUGAGGGAAAGGUGAAAAGAACCCCGGGAGGGGAGGGAAAUAGAACCUGAAACCCUGCACUUACAAGCUGUGGAAGCACAUUUCUUGUGUGACCGCGUACUUUUUGUAGAACGGGCCAACGAGUUACGUUAAGUAGCAAGGUUAAGCACUUAAGGUGCGGAGC
rnacentral:rRNA from 1 species